GUGCUUGUUUUCAUUGAGGCCAAAAGUAUUGGGAGCGGUGAAUGAAGAUUCACCGAUGCCCAAAGUAUAAAAAAUAAUUGUUUACUGUAGCGCGUGUCAGAACGGUUACAAAGCCGUUGGCCACACACAAGUACACAGUGCUUCACACAAGGCCGUUGGCCACACACUGGCCACACACACAAAGUUCAAAACGCAUAGACGCUGGGCACACAGGCCUUCAAGUACAUAUAACCGUUGCCAAAUGCCUAUAAAUACAACUACCUACCUGUACAUGAACUCACAAAACUCUCUUUAUUCUCUCCCUCUGUAGACAUGGAGAACACAGCUUCAUCUUUCACAAAUAUGAUGAACUCUGCAAUGACAAGUGGUGAGCCACAGAAAAAAGCUAGGCAGCAACAUCAUUUUCCUUCACCACAAUACCCUAUUAACUAUUCAUCACAAUUUCCUACCUCUUUUCACCCCCAGUAUUCACACAUGUUCAAUCCCUUUGGAUCCCAAUCAAACUACCCACAAUUCCCAUUCUCAUCACAAGGAAGCUAUCAAGGUACCUCUUACCAAGGGAUGGUACAAUACCCACAAGGGUUGCUGAUGCAUCACAAGUUGGAUCCAUGGGUUUCUUCCGAGGUAGCCGAGGGGUUGAUUCAUGAGUUGAUGAGAGUAGCCCUAUUGGUUCAGCUUCUCCAGUGUCCCAAGAGCAACAUCAGACUGAUGUUCCUCCUGUAAACACACCAGUUUGGAGUGACAACGACAGCUGCCCUGAAGAAAGUGGAAAGAAAGAAGGUCGACAAUUUUGGAGUGAGGAGGAAAACCUUCGGUUAGUUAGUGCUUGGCUCAAACAUUCCACUGAUCCAAUUGUUGGAGUUGAUAGAAGAGGAGAUAGGUACUGGAAGGAUGUUGCAGCAGAGUACAAUUUGACUACACCCAAAGAUCGAAGAAAAACAGGUGCUCAAUUGAAAAAUCAUUGGACCAAGACUAUCCCUUUAAUUACCAUUUUCAAUGCAUGCUAUGAAAAGGAGAAAAGAGAGCAUGCUAGUGGUGAAUCCGA
rnacentral:lncRNA from 1 species